GGCCCGCUAACAAAAUGGGCAGCGUAAUGCCUCACUGGCUUCACUCCGAUCCGCUCAGCGACUGAGCCAAGCGUUAAGCCCGAUGACUGUGUGGCUAUCCAACCAGACUAGAUCCCAAAAGUCAACCAACAAGUCCAUGUCCAUCACUAUUAAAUAUAUUUACUAAAUAUCAUCGAUAAAUAUUCUUUUGCGGACAUCACUCCAAAUCAACAUUUUCAAGCAAGGAGACUAAUUAUUUGAAAUCCAUUUGAAAUCUGAUAGUAUCAAAACAAAAAUGACCUCGUUUUUAUCUCUCUGUACUGCGGACGCUGUCAUAGCUGCGGCAUCGUUAAAACUCGUAAGUCGUAAACAUAUGCACACAUAAAACCAAAACUUUUGCCACAGUUGUUCCCUGUAAGACCACACCACCCCACCCCGCUCCCUUCGUCCAAAAGCUGGCUGAUAUUAACGCAUUAGGUACAAGGUACACAAACCCAUUUGCCAUACUCGUCUGGGCCGAGUCUCUGCUGUUAUGAAACAAUAAACAGCCGUCAACGAUGAUGACAGCCCCAAAGAAGCAAACACAACAAAAGCCCAGUGCGGCGAGGGUUGACUCAGGUAUUUCAAUUAAUCCCAGCCAUCAGCGAGGGUUGCAAGAAAUCUUUAAUGUGCAGGUAAUUUAUUUCCCUGGCGAACAGCUAAAUUUAGCGGAAAUUAGUGGAUUCCAUUUGUUUUCAGAACCUUAACAAUUGCAGUUGACAUUUAACCUUUAGAGCUACGUUUUCAGGAAUAAUUAAAAGUGAAUCAACAUUUUCAUAAAUAUUAAGUAUACGUUUCAGAGAAUAUUAUCCCAGGGAUGCUGUUUGUUUUUAAUUCUCCUCGUUCAGCUGCCUUGCAAUUAUUUAAUCUCCCCACUGCCCUGAAGUAUCUCUCACAUAUGAAACGCAUUUUAUAUUUCCCUAGUAAACUUCGCGAAAGCUCUGUCGUGUGUAGUUACUAACUAGGCGAUUACCUCGUUUGGCCCCCACCAAAAAACCCCCACUUCCCCCACCCCGUUGUGUGCGCUGCUCGCCUGACCUUAGGCAUUUUGAACCCAAUUUGUAAGCAGUCGAAGGGCGGGCAGAUGGGAAAGAGGAACCCAAACAAUAUGCACAACAACCUCCUAGCCAAACCAACCAACAGACCUUCGGUACGCCCCGAAACAGCAAAGCCAGCCAAACGAUUGCGAGAGCUUAGUUCCCCGCCACGAUCCCCGAUCCCCAACUAUAUGGUAGUACAGUGCAGCAUAGUAUGUAUAUAUAGUAUAUAGCCAACCGAUUCCUACCUUCAACUUGCCGCUGGCGGGGCCAUUGAGUUGCUCAUUCGGUCAUGGCUACACGGCUUACUACUGCCUAUACUACCAGGCCACCACCACUGCCACUGAAUCGCCGGCAUUUCGGGCUCAUUAGAAAGUGAACGCGGGUCUGGCUGGGAGACAAAAUGCGAGACAAUGCGCCGGAGUCUCUGGAGCGCAGCUAAUGAAGCCCGACAGGGCCGAUAUCGGGCAAGGCAUCGGAUCGGAUUGGAUCGAAUCACGAUCACGUCACAUCACAAUCGAGAUUCCCUCGCCACUGUCAUUAGGAAGUUUCUCCAUACACUGCAAGGGGUACUUAGAGUGGACCUAUCACUCCUGGGGGCUCCACUUUCACAGAUUUUUUGGCAGUAAAUCAGUUCCAAGAAAUCGCAAUAUUUGACCAAAUCUACCUUUUUUUAAGUAAGCUUAGUCAUUAAUUCUUUCUUAAAUUCAGCUAUUAUUUUAUAAUUCUCAAUAUUUAGAAACAUAUUUUAAUUCGAUUAUCACCGAUAAAUUCAAUCGAUAUCAAAUCACACCUAUAAUCGAUCGGCAAGUGUAUCCAAAGCUUCGAUCUCCGGAUUUUACCAAAUUUAUUUUUUGUCUUUUCAUUCAAUUAAAUCAAAAGUAUAGCGCACGAAGAUGAGCCAGUGACGGAUGAUGGGAUACAAAUGAAAAUGUUGAAAGAAAAACAUGAAAGGCAGCAGCGAUGGGCAGGUGAAGGGGGAGGCGAUGUGCGAUACGAAAAAGAUACAAAAUUAUGUUAGUGGGAAAUUUUUGUGGUUUCUUGAAGCCGAGUACUCACACUCAUUGGAAUCGGAAUCGCAGCGACUUCACUUUCACUUGCACUUCGCCUUGCCCACCGCGCUUCACUUGUUGUGGUGCUGGCCAUGAAUGGAGCCAACAAAAACAACUAAAAAUACCCCCUGCACCACCACCACCCCCUACCCCGCGAUUCGCCCCUCGCUGGGCAGCCCAGUGGUUAAGUUUUUCUUUCAUUUCGUGGAGCUGGCUCCACACCGCCACUGGCGCCUUCAUCAAUCAACGAACGGCGGUUGGAAUCGCUCGCUGCUCAAGUGGCACAUUGGGAAAGUUCGCCCACAAGGGUUCUUCUGCGCCGCUCGUUAGGCUCUAAAUCACGUAUCUCACGCCCACAGAAACCAACCACCCUCGCUCUAACCGCCAAAUUAGCUGAGAGAAAAUAAUACAACCAAGUGAUAAUAUUGCUCACAUACUUGUAAAUACCAUGUACUUCAAUUACUUCGCAGAAAUUAUCUAAAAACAAAACUAUCUUUAUUAAAUUUAUAUUUGAUUCCCUAGAGAACUGCGCAUUUUUCUCCGUGUAGGCGUCUGCUUAUAAUUACUACUCUCGUAUCUCUUUCAUUGAUUUUCGUUUUGAGUUUUUCAUUUGAAAAUUCAUGUUUACAAGCGAUUAGCAGCUUAUUAUUAUUGCUUUUUGUCUGCCAAUUGAAUUUCCCAAUUUUCUUUGGUUUUCUCGCACUCGUCUCGCCCUUCGGUUGGCUCAUCUUGUUUGUGUCUGAAAUCGCUGGGAGAAAGACAAAUCUCGAGAGCUUUACAUAAUCCACACAAAUGGUCGUCAUUAUGCGAAUUUCAUUUGUUCAUUUACUAUUUCUGGACGGUUGGUGAAUGUUUUGUUGGCUUUCUUCUAAUUUCGUGGUAUUCUAUUUGAUUUGAUUGCUUGUUGCCUUUUUGAACAGAAGCUAAUGAACUUGAAAGAGUCUUGAAAUGGCGAAGACUGAAGACGGCUCUUGUGUAAUUCAGGUAGAAGCCGCUUUUUUUUAAUAAUUAUUGGCGAUGGUUGAUUGUAAUUAUAUAAUUCGUUUUUUGAUGGGUUUACUAUUUGAAUUGGUUAGCAAUUUAAAUAGUAGGAUAUAUAUUAAAUAUUUAUACACACAAACUUGUAUGCUAUUUACUUUAAACUCAAUACCCCAGCCGAAGAUCUCAUUUCUCACAUGUAUAACAAGUAAUUAUGUACAUAUUGUAUUUCCGAUCCAUGGGUCAAUGGCUCCCUUCAGAUCGCUCGACUUCAUCAGGUAGCUGCUACUGCCUUUUUAAAACCCUUUCCAGGGUAUGUCAAAUAAAAGGUCUGAUUAAUUCUAUAGAAAUUGCAUUGCCAGGCUGCAUUUCGUCAGUUUCAAUUCAAUGCAAAUUACAGAGCCAACUGGAAACAACAAUGCGUCUGCGUCCGAGUCUGAAAUUGCUGCUGGAAUUGGGCAACAACAGCAAACAACAAAACGAAACACAAGGGAAAUCUAAGCAGUUGAUUCUUGGCUAAGCUUACACAGUAAGAAAAACAUUUGAUUUAUGAAAGCCAUAAAUUACGAAAAUUUCCCGUUAUUAGUUAUAAUACCUACUGAUAAAACAAACGUGUAAAUAGUUAGCAAACUAUUUAUAGAUGUGAGAAAGUAUUUUAGGUUUAUUUUUAAUGAGAUAUUAAAUUAGUUUUCAUUUGAAUCCCAUGAGUGUUCAACUGUAAACAAAUAAACAUUUUACU